GACGAACGCUGGCGGCGUGCUUAACACAUGCAAGUCGAACGGAAAGGCCCUGCUUUUGUGGGGUGCUCGAGUGGCGAACGGGUGAGUAACACGUGAGUAACCUGCCCUUGACUUUGGGAUAACUUCAGGAAACUGGGGCUAAUACCGGAUAGGAGCUCCUGCUGCAUGGUGGGGGUUGGAAAGUUUCGGCGGUUGGGGAGGGACUCGCGGCUUAUCAGCUUGUUGGUGGGGUAGUGGCCUACCAAGGCUUUGACGGGUAGCCGGCCUGAGAGGGUGACCGGCCACAUUGGGACUGCGAUACGGACCAGACUGCUACGGGGGGCAGCAGUGGGGAAUAUUGCACAGUGGGCGGACGCCUGAUGCAGCAACGCCGCGUGCGGGAUGACGGCCUUCGGGUUGUAAACCGCUUUCGCCUGUGACGAAGCGUGAGUGACGGUAAUGGGUAAAGAAGCACCGGCUAACUACGUG
rnacentral:rRNA from 1 species